rnacentral:rRNA from 1 species
AAUACUUAGGAAUCUGCCCAUUAAUGGGGGACAACAGUUGGAAACGACUGCUAAUACCGCAUACGCCCUACGGGGGAAAGCAGGGGAUCUUCGGACCUUGCGUUAAUGGAUGAGCCUAAGUCGGAUUAGCUAGUUGGUGGGGUAAAGGCCUACCAAGGCGACGAUCUGUAGCGGGUCUGAGAGGAUGAUCCGCCACACUGGGACUGAGACACGGCCCAGACUCCUACGGGAGGCAGCAGUGGGGAAUAUUGGACAAUGGGGGGAACCCUGAUCCAGCCAUGCCGCGUGUGUGAAGAAGGCCUUUUGGUUGUAAAGCACUUUAAGCGAGGAGGAGGCUACUAGUAUUAACACUACUGGAUAGUGGACGUUACUCGCAGAAUAAGCACCGGCUAACUCUGUGCCAGCAGCCGCGGUAAUACAGAGGGUGCGAGCGUUAAUCGGAUUUACUGGGCGUAAAGCGUGCGUAGGUGGCCAAUUAAGUCAAAUGUGAAAUCCCCGAGCUUAACUUGGGAAUUGCAUUCGAUACUGGUUGGCUAGAGUAUGGGAGAGGAUGGUAGAAUUCCAGGUGUAGCGGUGAAAUGCGUAGAGAUCUGGAGG